AUUGAAUCAGUAGCUCACAGUGACGCGAGUGACGGAUGGGUUUGUGCUUGACCGAUGACAAGGCAACCGAGUUUCUCUUUUUUUCGAUGAGUAGUCCGAGUCCUCCAAUCCUGAGGUAAAUAAUUCUCUCUCACCUGAUAAACUGUACAAUGGGCUUCAACACAGAACCUGUUUAAAAGGUGCAGUGAGAUUAUAAACAGGAUUAGUGCAGAUUAAACAUGUUUACAUAUAUUUCUUCCAUCCAUUUAUUCUGUCUCCACUCCACCAUAUUCCAUCCUUUUUAUUCAGUUAUAUUAGUUUAUCAUCCAUCAAUCUUUACUGGUAAUCCAUCAUAAAUCUUUACUGGUUCGAUCAGUUCAUCUUCCAUCCAUUAUUACAUUCUAUUUUUGGUUAUAUCAGUUUAUCAUCCAUCCAUCCACCCACCUAUAAUCCCACCGUUUUUGUUCUAUCAGUUUGUUAUGCAUCCAUUCAUAUUUUCCCCCGCUUCCAUCAGUUUAUCAUCCAACCAUAAUACUAUCUUUUUUCAGUCGGAUCAGUUUAUUGUCCAUCCAUCCAUCCUAUUUUUGUUCUUUCAAUUCAUCAUCCAUCCAUCCAUCAUUUUUCCAGGUCCAACAGUUUAUUACCCAUCCAUCCUUUUCAGUUCUAUCAGUGUCUUAAUCAUCCAUCCAUGUAUCCUUCUAUUCAUCUCUUCUUUCAUCUAGACAUCCUUCCUUCAAUUCCUUCAUUCUUUUACCCAUUCACCCCUCUAUUCAGUCUUCAGUAUAUCAACCCAUUGAUCUUUGCUCUAUCAAUUUAUGAUCCAUUCUCCCAGCCAUCAAUUUUCUACCCUAUCCAUUUUCAUCCAUUCUCCCACCAAUCCAUCCUGCCAUUUAUCUCCCACUCACAUCCAUCCCAUACAUUUUACGUUCAGCGUUGUACUUCAUGUUCUACUUUCCUAUCCAUCCAUCUCCAUUCUCAAUUUAUAGUCCAUCCACCCAUUCAUCAUUCACGCUUCCAUCCAUCCAUCCAUCCAGUCAGAGUUUUAUUCUCUAAUCCAUCCAUCUUUCCACAAAUCUUCCAUAUAUUCUCCACUCUACCAGUCUAGUCUAGGUAAACAAAAACAAAUGUCUCAAGCUCCUGCCCAAAUAUACAUAAACUGCUCAAAACAUGCGCUGCAACACAAUUCAACAAAUAAAUACUGUAAAUAAAAUAGACACCGACUAGCAACUUUGCUAUGGUGUAACAGCAUCUCCACCAUGCCGUCAUUGAUUAUUUUCCUCUAACUGCAUGGCCUCAAGUGUUUUAUUCCUUAUUUAAAUAACACAUUUGACUAAAAGAUUACAAUUUGCUCGUAGUGACUUUUUAACAGACGGAUUUAUUGAUUUGUCAUGAACAGUAUAUGUGUAUACAUUUGCACAUCUGUACAAUGGACACUACACAAGUGAGCAUUAGCUAGCUGCUGUUACUACAAGCUUGGGCUCUCAACAUUCAAAUAAGUGUUCUGAAAAUGCUCAAAUAAAUCAGUGUGAACUGGGAGCAUGACAUCAUUCUCCAUUAUAAAUAAAAACCACCUUGUUAAGGGUAGGAUACGUGCAUAAAUUGUGGCUUAGGUCAGCACAGACCUCCAAGGGGUAGAAGAGAUCAGACUACAUCAUUAUCCUGCAUCCAUUAGUGAGAUAGCAAUGCAGAGAUCAGCCCAACUACCAAGAGCUUCCUAACUCGUGUGUCAAACACUUCUCGGUAGGUAACAUUUCUAUACAGAUGAUCAGUUACACACAAAAAAAGUUUCCAUUUUAUGUUAUAUCUCCCAUAUAUAUUCAAUGUAACGUUGCAGCUACAAAUGACUCAAUUAUUCCAUUUCCAUCUACCAAUUAUCAUAACCUCUUCAAUCCAUCUAUUCAUUUAUCCUAAACUCUCAUCUAUCCGUCAAUUAAAUUAACACGAACUCUUCCAUCCAUCAGUUAAUUUUAUCGUAAACUCUUAAAUACAUUUAUUAAUUUCUUGUGAUCUGUUCCAUCCACCUAUUCAUUUAUCGUAAACAUUCCCAUUCAUCCGUCGGUUCUACCAGUCCUUCCUUCUCUUUAUCAUCCUCUGACAACUCCUCUACUUACCAUCUAUUCUCCUGGUCAUCCCUCCAUUCAUCAUCCACUCUUCCAUCCAUCCUCCUCCCAUUCUCAUACUUCAAACCAUCAUCCACUCUUCCAUUAAUUCCUCCUUCCAUCCAUUUAUCAUCCUGAUUCAUCUGAUCCAUCGAACUGAAAUCUUUCUUCCUAUUCCUUCCUCCAUCUAUCCAGCAUUACAUCUAUUCAUCACCAACUCCUCCAUCCAUCUAUUCCCAAUUUACCCAUCAUUCUCAUAUUGAUCAUUUAAAAAAUAAUAAUAACAAAAAAAAAAAAAAAUCACCCACUCUCACAUACAUCCAACUAUCCACUGAUCUCCCAUCUCACCAUCCUUUCCAAUUGGCUCCAGCACACGUUGUUUACGGUGUACAGGUUUAUGUCUCCUUUCCCCCAUGGAGGAUCAAUCACGUCUUUUUAUCCAUAAUUCCCUCCGUUAAGUGAAUGACUCGAGUAGGAGAUCAUUCUUAUUUUCCUGCUGGCACACGUUACACUUAUUUUAUGCACUUUAUACUCCGUAUUGCACACAAAUUUCUCCAUGGACAUCAAGAGCGUCUACUCCUCAAUUUAUCUUUGAAUUUUGUCGGAGCUCUAAAAACGAGGCAGACGCUGGUACGGCGUAAAAGGAAAAAGGAAAAAGAAAAAAAAAAAAAAAAAGAGGAACCUUUUCAUCUGCUGUAUUUACUGUCAAACUCUGAAACCAAAUAGAGACACUGAAAACGACUUCCACUGGUUCAAUGAAGUCUAUUUACCUGACUACCCAUCAAUCCACAGUGCCUCUGCUCUCUUAUCCACAUC
ensembl:lncRNA